rnacentral:lncRNA from 1 species
CCCCGCUCCUUCAGCUCCUGGGCCUGGGGGGGGACAGGGGAGGAAGAGGAGGAGGAGGGUAUGAGGAGGAGGAAGGUGCCAGGAUGAGGAGGAGGAAGGUGCAGUGCCCCACCGCAGCCCCCACCUCCCCCGCCGCCAGCGCACGGUUCCCCCGCUCCUUCAGCUCCUGGGCCUGCAGGAUGGGAGGAGGAGGAAGGUAUGAGGGUGAGGAAGGCACCAGGAGCAGGAGGAAGGCACCAGGAAGAGGAUAAGAAAGGUGCGAGGAAGAGGAAGGCACCAGGAGAACGAUGGGGUACGAGGAGGACAAAGGCACCAGGGGGAGGAGAAAGGCACCAGGGGAGAGGUGUGAGGAAGAGGAAGGCACCAGGGGGAGAGGGUACAAGGAGGAUGAGGAAGGUGCGAGGAAGAGGAACGCACCAGGGGGAGGGGGAAGGCGCCAGGAAGAGGAAGCAUGAGGAGGAUGAGGAAGGUGCAAGGAGGAGGAUGAGGAAGAGGAAAGGGCACCAGGAGGAGGAGGAAGGCACCAGGAAGAGAGAGCAUGAGGAGGAUGAGGAAGGUGCAAGGAGGAGGAUGAGGAAGAGGAAAGGGCACCAGGAGGAGGAGGAAGGCACCAGGAAGAGAGAGCAUGAGGAGGAUGAGGAAGGUGUGAGGAGGAGGGAGGUGCCAGGGGGAGGAGGGGGUACAAGGAGGAAGGUGCAAGGAGGAGGAAGGCACCAGGAGGAGAAGGGGAUACGAGGAGGAGGAAGGCACCAGGGGGAGGAGGAAGGCACCAGGGGAGAGGUGUGAGGAAGAGGAAGGCACCAGGGGGAGGAGGGAGUACGAGGAAGAGGAAGGCACCAGGACAAGAGGGUACAAGGAGAAUGAUGAAGGCACCAGGAAAAAGAAAAGUUACGAGAAGGAUGAGAAAGGUGCCAGGGGGAGGAGGGAGUACAAGGAGGAUGAGGAAGGUGUGAGGAAGAGGAAGGCACCAGGGGGAGGAGGGGAUGCGAGGAGGAUGAGGAAGAUGCGAGGAGGAAGAAGGCACCAGGAGGAAGGGAGCACAAGGAGGAGGAAGGCACCAGGGGGAGGGGGUACGAGGAGGAUGAAGGCACCAGGGGAAAGAGGAAGGCACCAGGAGCAGGAGGAGCAUGAUCAGGAGGAAGAAGGUGUGAGGAAGAGGAGGGAGCACGAGGAAGAAAAAGGUGUGAAAAUGAAAAAAGCACGAGGAAGAAGAAGGUGUGAGGAAGAGGAAGGGACCAGGAGGAUGAAGGGGGCACGAGGAAGAGGAAGGUGUGAGGAAGAGGAAAAGUAGGGGACGUGAGGAAGAGGAAGGUGUGAGGAAGAGGAAGGAAAUGGGGGGGGAGGAAGAGGAAGGAAAAGCGG